UGAAUUAUUCAUGAGUAAGUGUCUCUCGCCCCACCCAGAAAGGCGUCGUUGACUAUUCAUGAGCCCGAAAGCGUUCGGGCUCGAAAAGGCCGUUGGGCAUCCUUCUGAGAGAUCUGAGAGAGACCUCGAGGAGCUGAGGUUUGACUUGUUAAAAGAAUCUUGAUACAUUACUACAAUGGCCACUGCUCAGCUCUCUCGCUCUAUCAAAAUUCACAAAGCAUCUAAGGAAACAGUUUUUCCAUCCCAAAUCACUAAUGAGCAUGCGUCAUUGAUAAUGGUGAAGAAACUUUUUGCUACUUCUAUCUCAUGUAUAACAUAUCUAAGGGGCCUGUUUCCAGAGAGCUCUUAUGGAGAACGCCAUUUGGAUGACCUCAGUUUAAAAAUACUUCGAGAAGAUAAAAAAUGUCCGGGGUCACUGCAUAUUAUCAAAUGGAUACAAGGCUGUUUUGAUGCUUUGGAAAAGAGAUACCUACACAUGGCAGUACUUACACUUUACACAAAUCCCAAGGAACCUGAGAAAGUGACUGAAAUAUACCAGUUCAAAUUCAAAUACACAAAAGAAGGAGCCACUAUGGAUUUUAACAGUAGUAGUACAAGCUUCGAAAGUGGGACAAACAGUGAAGAUGUUAAGAAAGCCAGUGUUCUACUGAUCCGCAAAUUGUACAUACUAAUGCAGAACCUUGGACCCCUUCCUAAUGAUGUUAUACUUACUAUGAAACUCCACUACUAUAAUGCAGUGACUCCUCAUGAUUACCAACCCCCUGGUUUUAAAGAAGGGGUAAAUUCACACUUCCUGCUGUUUGAGGGGGAGCCUGUAAACCUGCAAGUGGGAUUGGUCUCCACUGGCUUUCAUAGCAUGAAAGUAAAAGUCACAACUGAGGCCACCAGAGUGUCUGAUUUGGAGAACAAUCUCUUUCAGGAGAACAGCACAACUGAGAUUGCCCAUCAGGGUCUAGACUUUGAUGAGGAAGAAGAAGAAUGCAGCAAUCAUAGAGCCCAGCACUCUAUCUGUAGCUUCCCGGAGGCCAUGGAAAGGAAACACAGGCUCCGUGACUGCUUUGACCAGAUUCAAAGAAUGAAUUUUGUGUGCAGUCAGCAAAGUUCUCAGAGCUCCAGGAAGAAGAGGAAGGUCAGCGAACCAGUGAAAGUCUUCAUCCCUGACAGAAAAUGAAAGUUAGAUACCUUCACUGCAUUUAUUCUAAAAUAAUUUUGUUUUACAACAAACAUGCAUGAAGUGUCUUAAUAGGAAAUUUGAUGUUUCUUCAAAUGUAGUAAGGACAUCUGCACCUGGAGCGCUUGUUAAAAUACGGAAUUACCGGGCCUGUUUCAUUUCUACUAAAUCAAAAUCUUGGAGGGUGGGGCCCUGCAGAGAACUCCCAGGAUUCUAUUGCACACGUAAGAACCCUGGACCUCUGACCCAGACUAAGAGGAGAAUCUCUGGGGCCAGACAUGUACUCUAGCCAGCAGAAGGCUUCGGGUUAUCAUAACAGAGAGGAAAAUCUGAGAAAGCCUGUCUGUCCAGCACUACCCUUUGCCAGACUCUCAUCCAAGGCCUGCCAGGGAGGAGCAUUUUCCCUUCUCCCAGCAUGAUAAGUAUACUCACUAGGCUUACUCUGCCACUGCAGGGAGGAGGGAAAGGUAUUGGGUUUAUUAUAUCCUUCAUAGGAUUGUAGCCUGAGUCACCACAAUUUCUUUUAAGAGAAUCAUAUAAAGAGAUUAGCUGUCUAGUAGAGGGAUUAAGUUUAUUUUGUGUCCCUCCAGAGGGUAGAUAUAAGACCAAAUUGGUGAAAACUAUGGGAGGUCAAUCUUGCUCAGUUUAAGGAGGAACUUUUUAACUCUACAGGUUGCCAAAAUUUUGAAAUGGGCUGCCUUCUGAGGUAGUGAGCAUACCUCCAUUAUAAGUGAACGCAAGGGAGCUUUACAAAGACCCUAGGAGUCCUUGACUCAAAACAAAUUAGUUAUAUGGAGUAAUUAGUCAAUCUGGAUUUCAGGAGAAACCAUUUUGUCUAAAAGGGGAAUUUGGCUCUCGAUCUGUAUUUACGAUUUUCAUUAUUUGGCCUAAGAUCAAAGUCUAGAAUCUGAAUUUGUCUAGAAAAUUUCUAUAGUGAUUUUAUUGUCUCUGUUAACAACCCUCCUUCCCCAAAGGAACGGUCUUUUAUUGAGGCCACUAGGUGGAAUGUGUAUGCCCAAUGUGUGUGUGUAUAUGUGCAUGUGCGCAUGUGUGUUUGGCAGCAGAGAGAAGCUUCCGGGCCUAUGCCCUUGGCUGAGCACAGGCACACAGGGAAGGAGAUCUAUUAUAAGAGGAUCUGAGGUAUGACUGGCUGGCUCAGUCGGAAGAGCAUGCAACUCUUGAUCUCAGGGUUGUGAGUACGAGCCUCAUGCUGGGUAUAGAGGUUACUUAAAAAGAAAAUCUUAAAAAAAAAAAAAGGAUCCUAGAACCAUGAAAAUGUGAACUAGCUGCUUAUACACACCAGAGCUCAUAUGUGCAACCAGCUGUCAAGAUUGGAGGGUUUCAAUUCUAUUUACUGAAUGAUUUAUUGGUAGGGGGAAAAAAAUCUUUAGUCUAUUCACUUCUGGCCUUAAUAGUAAUGGAAUGGGUGAACAAGUUCAUCAAGGAGCUAGAACUUCAGUGAAAAGAAUGAAAACUUAGACCCCAAGCUGGAGAGUCUGAGGUGUACCCUCUAGCCAUUCCCUCCCCCUGCCUGUGCUUGGUUCAUCAGUGCACUUACAAAGACUAGAUGACGACAGCUUGGAAACUGGGACAUUGUUAAAUUAAAAAUGAUGCAGGGGAAAUUUGACAUCGCCGUUUGGGGUUUUUCUGUCUUUACAGAAAAUUGGUUUAGCUGGAAAGUGAUGGGGUUAGACCCAUGAUUGCCGCUAGCCUUUGAAGCCAAGCACCGAAACCACACCUUCAUUUCCCCUCUUGCAGGUCCCUCUGGUGUCUGGUUCUUUCAUUCUCCAGCUCACUUCUGCCAGGAAGAGGCUGGAAAUGUUAAUCAGCGUCAAAGUUGCAUUCACACAAGUUCAAAGUUGUAUAUGGUUUUAAAAUGACACUAUUAGAGCCAAUUUCAAUGUAUCUUAGCAUUUGUUAAUUUGUGGUUGCAAAUCCAAUAGUAUUGGAUCUUUGGAGAUUUCCACAGAUUCUUAAAGUACAAAUAAUUCUCAGUUAUAAUCAUCAUCAUUCAGAAGGAAUAUCCAGAUGAUAAAAUGAGGUUUAACAAACUGCUUGUAAGAGUUAAGGCAAGGUUCUCCACACUGAGUGAACCUAGAUUCUAUACAAAUGAGAAAAUGCCUUUGUUUAUCCCAAAUGUAUCCUCUUUAGAAAGAAUUGGUUUGUAUUUUUUUAAAGGCAAUAUUUUAACUGUGAUUGUAUGUUGUGUAAUGAGGCCCUGGCUGAGACUUGCUAUGCAGUUUUCAGUUUCUGCAGAGGAUGAGGGCACCCUUUAGGGCCUUAAUUAACGGACUCUUUGGUUAUGCAAUGGUAAAGCCAAGAUCCUAUCCAGAAACAGAGAGGCUUGAGAUACUAAUCUGUUCGUGUAACUUCCCCUUGGGUGCACUACAAUUUUGCAAAUAAGGUUUUACCUUCUGGAAGUGU